AAACGUAGGUCACAAGCGUUGUCCGGAAUUACUGGGUGUAAAGGGAGCGCAGGCGGGAAGACAAGUUGGAAGUGAAAUCUAUGGGCUCAACCCAUAAACUGCUUUCAAAACUGUUUUUCUUGAGUAGUGCAGAGGUAGGCGGAAUUCCCGGUGUAGCGGUGGAAUGCGUAGAUAUCGGGAGGAACACCAGUGGCGAAGGCGGCCUACUGGGCACCAACUGACGCUGAGGCUCGAAAGUGUGGGUAGC
rnacentral:rRNA from 1 species